AAGAAGAAAGGAAGGAAGACAAGAAAGAGAAGGAGAAGAAGGAAGACCACCACAAAGAAGAGAAGGAAGAGAGGAAGGAAGAAGAGAAGAAAGAGGAGAAGAAGAAAGAUGAGAAGCAUGAAGAGAAGAAGAAAGAUGAGAAGCAUGAAGAGAAGAAGAAAGAGGAGAAGCAUGAAGAGAAGAAUGAGCAGAAGCAUGAACCGAAGCAGUAUGAAGAAAAGAAGAAAGAGGAGAAGAAGGAGAACAAGAAGGAGGACAAGGAGGAGAAGAAACCAGAGGAGACGAGAGAAUAUCGAAGUGUGG
rnacentral:lncRNA from 1 species